AUUUAUAUAUUAAAAAAAAAUGAAUGAAUAAAUAAAUAAAAAAAAUUUAAUAAAACAAAAUUUUGUACAAUGCUUUUUCCAUACGUAUGUAUAUUCAUACUCGUCACAAUUGUUCAUGUGCAUUAAUUAGAAAUAUUUAAGAAAAAUUAAUAAAUAAAUAAAUAAAUUCAUUAACAGAAAUUGCAAUAGUUUACCCAAAGUAAAAAGGAAAGAAAUAUUAAAAUAGAAUAAAAUUUUAUUUUAAACAGAUUUCAAAAUAAAUGAAAUAAUAAAGAUUUCCUUAAAAAGUUCGUAUGAGUUCGUGUGCUGUGUAAAAUUAUUAUAAUAAUUGUUAAAAAUUAUAUUUAAAGCAUUGUAACAAAGCAGCAGCAAUGCCAUAAGUGGAUUAAAGACCACAAGGAAACAAAACGAAAGCAAAAAAAAAAGAGGAAAAAAAAA